rnacentral:rRNA from 1 species
AGUGAACGCUGGCGGUAGGCCUAACACAUGCAAGUCGAACGGCAGCACAGUAAGAGCUUGCUCUUACGGGUGGCGAGUGGCGGACGGGUGAGGCAUACAUCGGAAUCUACUUUUUCGUGGGGGAUAACGUAGGGAAACUUACGCUAAUACCGCAUACGACCUACGGGUGAAAGCAGGGGAUCUUCGGACCUUGCGCGAUUGAAUGAGCCGAUGUCGGAUUAGCUAGUUGGCGGGGUAAAGGCCCACCAAGGCGACGAUCCGUAGCUGGUCUGAGAGGAUGAUCAGCCACACUGGAACUGAGACACGGUCCAGACUCCUACGGGAGGCAGCAGUGGGGAAUAUUGGACAAUGGGCGAAAGCCUGAUCCAGCAAUACCGCGUGGGUGAAGAAGGCCUUCGGGUUGUAAAGCCCUUUUGUUGGGAAAGAAAAGCAGCAGGUUAAUACCCCGCUGUUCUGACGGUACCCAAAGAAUAAGCACCGGCUAACUUCGUG